UGAACGCUAGCGGCAGGCUUAACACAUGCAAGUCGAGGGGCAUCGAGAGUAGCAAUACUUGUCGGCGACCGGCGCAAGGGUGCGUAACACGUGAGCAACAUACCCGUUUCAGGAGGAUAACCGGAGGAAACUCUGCCUAAUACUCCAUGACAUCAUCAAACGGCAUCGUUUGAUGAUUAAAGAUUUAUCGGAAACGGCUUGGCUCGCGGGACAUUAGCUCGUUGGUGAGGUAACGGCUCACCAAGGCCACGAUGUCUAGGGGUUCUGAGAGGAAGGUCCCCCACACUGGAACUGAGACACGGUCCAGACUCCUACGGGAGGCAGCAGUGAGGAAUAUUGGACAAUGGUCGGAAGACUGAUCCAGCCAUGCCGCGUGAAGGUUACUGUCCUAUGGAUAUUAAACUUCUUUUGUAUGAGAGCAAUAAGGUGCACGCGUGCACCGAUGAGAGUAUCAUACGAAUAAGCAUCGGCUAACUCCGUG
rnacentral:rRNA from 1 species